rnacentral:rRNA from 1 species
CGUAGGGACCAAGCGUUGUUCGGAUUUACUGGGCGUAAAGGGCGCGUAGGCGGCGCGGUAAGUCAUUUGUGAAAUCUCUGAGCUUAACUCAGAACGGCCAAGUGAUACUGCAGUGCUAGAGUGUGGAAGGGGCAAUCGGAAUUCUUGGUGUAGCGGUGAAAUGCGUAGAUAUCAAGAGGAACACCUGAGGUGAAGACGGGUUGCUGGGCCAACACUGACGCUGAGGCGCGAAAGCCAGGGGAGCAAACGGGAUUAGAUACCCCGGUAGUCCUGGCCCUAAACGAUGAAUACUUGGUGUCUGGAGUUUUAAUGCUCCGGGUGCCGUCGCUAACGUUUUUAGUAUUCCGCCUGGGGAGUACGCUCGCAAGAGUG